UACGUAGGGUGCAAGCGUUAAUCGGAAUUACUGGGCGUAAAGCGUGCGCAGGCGGUUUUGUAAGUCUGUCGUGAAAUCCCCCGGGCUCAACCUGGGAAUUGCGAUGGAGACUGCAAGGCUAGAAUCUGGCAGAGGGGGGGUAGAAUUCCACGUGUGAGCAGUGAAAUGCGUAGAGAUGUGGAGGAACACCGAUGGCGAAGGCGA
rnacentral:rRNA from 1 species